GCCUCAGCAGUGCCAGCCUCACUCAGGCACACUGCAGGCGCCCGCCACCAUGCCCGGCUAAUUUUUUGUAAAUUCUUGAGCUCUACCUUGGAGAUGACUCUAUGUUAGUUUUUCCCACAGGACCCUCAGAAAAUACAAACUAUUGGCUUGUCAGUGAUGAAGAAAGUUUCUUUUGCUUAUUGCUUGGGCCUGAGUCGAAUAUUUUAUCCUCAAGUCUCUCGGUGUUGAGAAGACGUGUCUCUCCAAGUGGUCUCGAGGAAGCUGGUGGAAAUGACAUCACAGUGAUGGAAAACAGCGGAGAAGAAGAUAAUGAUCACCUUGCUUGGUCAAUAAUGAAAGCAGAGGAGGCCAAGUCUUAUUUGAAUUCAUAGACAUUGAAUUCUGAAAUGGAUUGGGAAGGUGCUAUUGGAAUUGCUUCCCCUGGGUGUCUCAUCCCCUCUGGAGAUGGUUCGAUGCCACUGAUACUAGGAUUUUAAAUUCUGCUUGGGACUGAGGAUUCCCACUGAGAUUCUAUUCUCAUCUAGCCUAGUGGUUCAGUCUUAUAGUGGGCCAGAGGCUCUUUGAAGACUUUCUGAGAGGUCUCCAUGGGCUCUUGAAAUACAUUAGAUUCCCCCAUUCCCUCUAUUGACGUGUGUAGCCCUAGGAGUCCCAGUCAGUGUAUCUAGCAAUAGAAUAGAUCUUUCUUAUUUAUCUCAAGAUCAGUUCAGACUGUCCAAAUCCUCCAAAUCAGGAGAAAUUAAAAGCUAGAUUGUGUCUUUUAGGAUAAUCCCUUCCCUGUUAACCAUCGCUUUACUGCCCUCUCUAUACUCAUUGGUUAGCUCAGAGGACCAUGUAUUUCUGCAUAAAGGAAAUGAGUUUCCCCAGUGCCAUUUAUCUUUCCAGAUCCUACCUUACUAUUUUGAUGACUUGUAGAUAAGUAAAUAGAUAAUAUAUAUUGAAUGAAUAUCCGAAGGUUAUGAUUUUCUCUACAUUUGCAUAUGUCAUAAAUAUUCAUUUUAUAUCAGCUUUGAGAUCUUUUGAGGUAUAUUUGUAAGACUGACAAAAUUAAACUAGAGAUAUUUCUAA